ACUAACAAGGAUUCCCCUAGUAACUGCGAGUGAAGCGGGAAAAGCUCAAAUUUAAAAUCUGAGGGUCUUUAUGGCCUUCCGAGUUGUAAUCUAGAGAAGUGCUAUCCGCGCUGGACCGUGUACAAGUCUCCUGGAACGGAGCGUCAUAGAGGGUGAGAAUCCCGUCUUUGACACGGACUACCAGGGCUUAUGUGAUACGCUCUCAAAGAGUCGAGUUGUUUGGGAAUGCAGCUCUAAAUGGGUGGUAAAUUCCAUCUAAAGCUAAAUAUUGGCGAGAGACCGAUAGCGAACAAGUACCGUGAGGGAAAGAUGAAAAGAACUUUGGAAAGAGAGUUAAAAAGUACGUGAAAUUGUUGAAAGGGAAACGCUUGAAGUCAGUCGCAUUGGCCAGGGAUCAACCUUGCUUUUGCUUGGUGUAUUUUCUGGUUAAUGGGUCAGCAUCAAUUUUGAUCGGUGGAAAAAGAUCAAGGGAAUGUGGCAUCUUCGGAUGUGUUAUAGCCCUUGGUUGUAUACAUCGAUUGGGAUUGAGGAGCUCAGCACGCCGCAAGGCCGGGUUUUUAACCACGUACGUGCUUAGGAUGCUGGCAUAAUGGCUUUAAUCGACCCGUCUUGAAACACGGACCAAGGAGUCUAACAUGCACGCGAGUGUUUGGGUGGAAAACCCGAGCGCGUAAUGAAAGUGAAAAUUGAGAUCCCUGUCGUGGGGAGCAUCGAUGCCCGGACCAGAUCUUUUGUGACGGUUCCGCGGUUGAGCGUGUAUGCUGGGACCCGAAAGAUGGUGAACUAUGCCUGAAUAGGGUGAAGCCAGAGGAAACUCUGGUGGAGGCUCGUAGCGAUUCUGACGUGCAAAUCGAUCGUCAAAUUUGGGUAUAGGGGCGAAAG
rnacentral:rRNA from 1 species